CAUUAUAGAAAGCCGAAUCCAGCUCUGGUACGGGGGAACCAAUUAAGGGGGUGAAACUUGAUAAGUGUCAGCUUUUCAAGUAGGGUGCCUGCAACCCUAACCCGUCAGCUAACCUCGGAGGCAAGUGAGAGGAGAAAC
rnacentral:sRNA from 2 species